CUUGACCGACCCCAGCCACAGCGGCCGCUCCGCUCGCCUGCCCUGGCCGUAGGUGGCGAGCAGAGCAUCCGCCUC
rnacentral:antisense_RNA from 1 species